rnacentral:rRNA from 1 species
UGGUUGUCCUGGUACUUGCAUGUAGGCGGGAAGACUAGGCAAAUCCGGUUUUCUAUUUAAACGCUGAGGUGCGAAGUGGUUCUGGCAUUUCGGUGCACAGGGAAGUAACUGAUACCACGCUUCCAGGAAAAGCUGCUAGCCAUAACUUAUAGAGAACCGUACCGCAAACCGACACAGGUUGACAGGUAGAGUAUACUAAGGCGCAUGAGAGAACUCGGGUGAAGGAACUAGGCAAAAUGGUACCGUAACUUCGGGAGAAGGUACGCCCUUGUUUGUUACUGGACUUGCUCCAGGAAGCGAAUGAGGGCCGCAGAGACCAGGUGGCUGCGACUGUUUAUUAAAAACACAGCACUCUGCAAAUUCGUAAGAAGACGUAUAGGGUGUGACGCCUGCCCGGUGCUGGAAGGUUAAUUGAUGGGGUUAUCCGUAAGGAGAAGCUCUUGAUCGAAGCCCCAGUAAACGGCGGCCGUAACAAUAACGGUCCUAAGGUAGCGAAAUUCCUUGUCGGGUAAGUUCCGACCUGCACGAAUGGCGUAACGAUGGCCACACUGUCUCCACCCGAGACUCAGUGAAAUUGAAAUCGCUGUGAAGAUGCAGUGUACCCGCGGCUAGACGGAAAGACCCCGUGAACCUUUACUAUAGUUUUGCACUGGACUUUGAUGAUAACUGUGUAGGAUAGGUGGGAGGCUAUGAAGUGUGAACGCUAGUUUGCAUGGAGCCAUCCUUGAAAUACCACCCUGUUGUUAUUGAGGUUCUAACUUAGUCCCGUAAUCCGGGAUGAGGACCGUGUAUGAUGGGUAGUUUGACUGGGGCGGUCUCCUCCCAAAGAGUAACGGAGGAGCACAAAGGUACCCUCGGUACGGUCGGACAUCGUACCAAGAGUGUAAAGGCAUAAGGGUGCUUGACUGCGAGAGUGACGGCUCGAGCAGGUACGAAAGUAGGUCUUAGUGAUCCGGUGGUUCUGAAUGGAAGGGCCAUCGCUCAACGGAUAAAAGGUACUCCGGGGAUAACAGGCUGAUACCGCCCAAGAGUUCAUAUCGACGGCGGUGUUUGGCACCUCGAUGUCGGCUCAUCACAUCCUGGGGCUGAAGCAGGUCCCAAGGGUAUGGCUGUUCGCCAUUUAAAGUGGUACGCGAGCUGGGUUUAGAACGUCGUGAGACAGUUCGGUCCCUAUCUGCCGUGGGCGUAGGAAAAUUGAGAGGGUCUGCUCCUAGUACGAGAGGACCGGAGUGGACGAACCUCUGGUGUGCCGGUUGUAACGCCAGUUGCAUAGCCGGGUAGCUAAGUUCGGACGGGAUAACCGCUGAAAGCAUCUAAGCGGGAAGCCUUCCUCAAGAUGAGUUUUCCCAUGAAGCCCGUUGAAGACUACGACGUUGAUAGGAGCGGUGUGGAAGCACAGUAAUGUGUGUAGCUAACGCUUACUAAUUGGCUGAUUGUCUUGACCAU